UACGUAGGGCGCAAGCGUUAUCCGGGAUUAUUGGGCGUAAAGAGCUCGUAGGCGGUUUUGUCGCGUCUGCCCGUGAAAAGUCCGGGGGCUCAACUCCGGAUCUGCGGUGGGUACGGGGCAGACUAGAGUGAUGUAGGGGAGACUGGAAUUCCUGGUGUAGCGGUGAAAUGCGCAGAUAUCAGGAGGAACACCGAUGGCGAAGGCAGGUCUCUGGGCAUUAACUGACGCUGAGGAGCGAAAAGCAUGGGGGAGCGAACAGG
rnacentral:rRNA from 1 species